ensembl:miRNA
UGUAACAGCAUCUCCAUAUGGAAUAGCUCAGGGUUCCAGUGGAGCUGCUGUUAUGGG